AUAUACGAGGACAGUCCCCAAAACUUCUUUUUGGUUAAGUUUCUUUUUAUUUACAAAGAAGAAAUUCCACAAUAUAUACGAGAAAUUUAAGAGAACCCGCUCUUCUUGUGACCAGAAGUUAAUGCUUCAUAUGCAGGCCAUUCCUACAGCAAUCACCAAGAAACCAGCUGACACUUCUGGUCUGAUCACUAUAAAACCCAGACGUCCCAGAAGAAGGUGUGUUUUGAGCAGACCAGAGCUAUUCCCAUGAUGGAGCACUGCCUCACCUUGAGCAAAUAAGAAAAUGAAAACCCUUUCUUUUGUUGUUAAUGAGAAACUCCAGUUGGAGAGCUACACUAAGAUGCACCUUUACAUUUUUUCAUUCUUUUUGGUUCGAGAUGAUUAAAAGGGGCUACCUGGUUGCCAUCCCAAAAGAUUCUUCCUUUUUGAGACUGUCCUUUCACUGCCCAACCUCACUAUGUGAUUGAAAAACAAAAGCAAACAUGUAACAAUAUUGGAGAUAUCUUUACAGACGCAUAUUCAAUACA